AUGGAAUGCAUUAUUUUCUUUUUGUGUUUUCUUCCUACAAUGGUUCUUUCUCAGGUCACCCUGAAAGAGUCUGGUCCUGGGCUGCUGAAACCUAAUGAGGUUCUAUCACUGACCUGCACCGUCUCUGGAUUCUCACUGAGCACUACUAAUGUUGGUGUUGGCUGGCUCCGUCAGCCUCAAGGAAAGGCACCUGAGUGGCUUUCUGACAUAUGGUGGAAUGAUAAUAAAAGAUAUGCACCAUCGCUGAAGAAUCGGCUUACAAUUUCCAGAGACACCUCCAAAAGUCAAGUGUUCUUGACCAUGACCAACAUAAGCCCUACAGACACAGCCAUGUACUAUUGUGCGCAUCCCUUCAAGGUAUACAAUAGUGUAGAUGUGUUUGGGGUUCUUUCUCAGGUCACCCUGAAAGAGUCUGGUCCUGGGCUGCUGAAACCUAAUGAGGUUCGGUCACUGACCUGCACCCUCUCUGGAUUCUCACUGAGCACUACUGAUAUUGGUGUUGCCUGA